GACGUAGGGCGCGAGCGUUGUCCGGAUUUAUUGGGCGUAAAGAGCUCGUAGGCGGCUUGUCGCGUCGACUGUGAAAACCCGAGGCUCAACUUCGGGCUUGCAGUCGAUACGGGCAGGCUAGAGUUCGGUAGGGGAGACUGGAAUUCCUGGUGUAGCGGUGAAAUGCGCAGAUAUCGAGAGGAACACCAGUGGCGAAGGCGAGUCCCUGGACAACACCUGACACUGAGGCACGAAAGCUAGGGGAGCAAACAGG
rnacentral:rRNA from 1 species